rnacentral:rRNA from 1 species
GGUUAAGUUAAUAAGGGCGCACGGUGGAUGCCUUGGCACUAGGAGCCGAAGAAGGACGUGACAAACGACGAUAUGCCUUGGGUAGCUGUAAGUAAGCGAUGAUCCAGGGAUUUCCGAAUGGGGGAACCCAACAGGUACUACCUGUUACCCAUAUCUGUUAAGGAUAUGAGGAGGAAGACGCAGUGAACUGAAACAUCUAAGUAGCUGCAGGAAGAGAAAGCAAAAGCGAUUGCCUUAGUAGCGGCGAGCGAAACGGCAGGAGGGCAAACCGAAGAGUUUACUCUUCGGGGUUGUAGGACUGCAAAGUGGACUCAAAGACUAUAGAAGAAUGAUUUGGGAAGAUCAGCCAAAGAGAGUGAUAGCCUCGUAUUUAAAAUAGUCUUUGUACCUAGCAGUAUCCUGAGUACGGCGGGACACGCGAAAUCCCGUCGGAAUCUGGGAGGACCAUCUCCCAACCCUAAAUACUCCCUAGUGACCGAUAGUGAACCAGUACCGUGAGGGAAAGGUGAAAAGCACCCCGGGAGGGGAGUGAAAUAGAACCUGAAACCGUGUGCCUACAACAAGUUCGAGCCCGUUAAUGGGUGAGAGCGUGCCUUUUGUAGAAUGAACCGGCGAGUUACGAUAUGAUGCGAGGUUAAGUUGAAGAGACGGAGCCG